AUUGAACGCUGGCGGCAUGCUUUACACAUGCAAGUCGAACGGUAACAGGCCGCAAGGUGCUGACGAGUGGCGAACGGGUGAGUAAUGCAUCGGAACGUGCCCAGGCGUGGGGGAUAACGCAGCGAAAGCUGCGCUAAUACCGCAUACGAUCUAUGGAUGAAAGCGGGGGACCGUAAGGCCUCGCGCGAUUGGAGCGGCCGAUGUCAGAUUAGGUAGUUGGUGGGGUAAAGGCUCACCAAGCCGACGAUCUGUAGCUGGUCUGAGAGGACGACCAGCCACACUGGGACUGAGACACGGCCCAGACUCCUACGGGAGGCAGCAGUGGGGAAUUUUGGACAAUGGGGGCAACCCUGAUCCAGCAAUGCCGCGUGCAGGAAGAAGGCCUUCGGGUUGUAAACUGCUUUUGUACGGAACGAAACGGCUCUGGUUAAUACCUGGGGUUAAUGACGGUACCGUAAGAAUAAGCACCGGCUAACUACGUGCCAGCAGCCGCGGUAACAC
rnacentral:rRNA from 1 species